GUACGGAGGCCCUGAGGUGCAGAACUCAACGGCAAAACAGAAAACAGAAAAAACAAAACAGAAAACACAACAACAAAAAGAGAAAACACAAUGGUUAAUGUCAUUGUGUUCUCUGAUUUGCCAUUGUGUUUUGCACUUCAGGGCCACCGUAC